rnacentral:rRNA from 1 species
AGAGUUUGAUCAUGGCUCAGGAUGAACGCUGGCGGCGUGCCUAAUACAUGCAAGUCGAACGAGAGUGCUUGCACUCUAGUGGCGAACGGGUGAGUAACACGUAGGUAACCUGCCCCAAAGAUGAGGAUAACAGUUGGAAACGACUGCUAAUACUCAAUAGGUAAUAGGAAGGCAUCUUCUUAUUAUUAAAGAUCCGUGUGGAUUACUUUGGGAGGGACCUGCGUCGCAUUAGCUAGUUGGUGAGGUAGUAGCUUACCAAGGCAAUGAUGCGUAGCCGGACUGAGAGGUUGAACGGCCACACUGGGACUGAGACACGGCCCAGACUCCUACGGGAGGCAGCA